CUACGGGAGGCAGCAGUGGGGAAUAUUGGACAAUGGGCGAAAGCCUGAUCCAGCAACGCCGCGUGAGGGAUGACGGCCUUCGGGUUGUAAACCUCUUUCAGUAGGGACGAAGCGAAAGUGACGGUACCCACAGAAGAAGGACCGGCCAACUACGUGCCAGCAGCCGCGGUAAUACGUAGGGUCCGAGCGUUGUCCGGAAUUAUUGGGCGUAAAGGGCUCGUAGGCGGUUUGUCGCGUCGGGAGUGAAAACUCAGGGCUCAACCCUGAGCGUGCUUCCGAUACGGGCAGACUAGAGGUAUGCAGGGGAGAAUGGAAUUCCUGGUGUAGCGGUGAAAUGCGCAGAUAUCAGGAGGAACACCGGUGGCGAAGGCGGUUCUCUGGGCAUGUUCUGACGCUGAGGAGCGAAAGUGUGGGGAGCGAACAGGAUUAGAAACCCCUGUAGUCC
rnacentral:rRNA from 1 species